AUGACCAUCCCGUCCUCCAGCGGAGCGAUGGGAAAGAAGGUGAAGGCCAAGCCGAAGAAGGCGCAGCAGCGGGAGCCGCUGGCCGACGCUGGAUCCGGCGACGAGGCCUCGCAGGACGUCGAGGAAGCGGCUGCGUCGGCCGGCGAUUGGGAGCAGUGCGGCCACUACAGCCGUGACGGUCGCCACUUGGACAAGGUCCUACGGGAGAUCGUGUCUGCCAAGCAUCUCGCGUCGUGUGAGCACUGCCGGGAGGAGGCCCCCCGGAAGAAAGGCGGCGGGGGUGGCAAGGAGAAAGGCGGUAAGCAGCAGAAGAAGAAAGGCGCUGCUGCCAAGACGCAGGCCAAGGCGGAGAAGAACGAUGAUUUAUGGGUCUGCUUGGACUGCGGCCGGCACUUCUGCGGCGGUGCCGUGUCAGAUACGAAGCCAUACGGCCAUGCCAGAAGGCAUGCCAAGCAGGACCGACACUGGUGGGCUGCACGGUAUGAUAAACCAACUGUCGCGUAUUGCUUGUCAUGCGAACAUGAGGUGUCCAUCGAGUUGCCUGUAGUAGAGACAGUUGUAGCAGCGCCAGCCGUCGAGAAGGUGGUUCUUGGUGCAGUGGAUAGCAAUGCAUUGGUUUUGGCUAAUAGCCAUGGUAAUGUGAUUAAAGGGCUGCCAAAUCUUGGAAAUACAUGUUUCUUCAAUGCAGUGCUGCAGAGCCUCCUAGCGCUUGAUAAGUUCCGCAGCAAGAUGCUAGGACCAGAUGUUCCAACAGGAGCCAUUGCUAUGUCACUGAAGAAGCUCUUUGUGGAAACAAGUGCUUCGAAUGAUGCAGGAGGUGCACUGAGCCCAAAGAGCCUUUUCUCAAGCAUUUGCUCAAAAUACCCUCAGUUCAAAGGCUACCAGAUGCAGGACAGCCAUGAAUUGCUCCGCUGUUUUCUUGAUGGUUUAGGCACGGAGGAAACUGAAGCGCGGAAGGCAGCGGAGGAUGCUUCCAGCGCUGCUGGGGUUCCUACAAUUGUUGACUCCAUCUUUGGGGGUCAGCUGUCUAGUACUGUGUCCAGCACAGAAUGCACACACGGAUCUGUUAAGCAUGACCAAUUCCUUGAUCUCUCACUACCAGUUCCAUCAAGGAAACCUCCAGCCAAGAGUGUUUCAUCACCACCAGCAAAGAGGACCAAGCAGUCCAUACGAGAUAGGAACAAAAAUCGCAGAUAUGGAAAGGUUGCUACCCGAGUGUCUCCUGCAAUAGCGGAGAGCAGCAAAGAACAAGUACAAACAGUUGCUGAAGGCAAUGAUUCCCAGAUUCCAGGUUCAGAAUUGGGACAGGUUGUCAGUGAGAAAGAACAUGAGCCCUCUGAGUGCAGUGAGUCAUGUGCUUCUGUUCCCAACCAAGAACUGAAGGCCGCUUCAAAUGUGGAGGCUGACAUUUCCUGGUUAGAUUAUCUUGCUGAUGCAGAUGAAACAAAGUCUGAGAUUCUUGAUUCCGCAUGUUCGACCGGAGCAGGACAGAUCUGGAACAGCAACGAUGCCGCCAUACAUGGUUCAUUUCACAGUGGAGAUGAUGCCUUGCCCAAAGAGCAGGCCUUGAUUUCUGAGCACUCAGGUGAGAACAUUGUUGAUGAUGCAACUUGUUUACAGACUGUGAUCUUGCUUCCUUACAAAGAAUUUGACACCACUGCUGAAGAAAUAUAUGAAACUGCAGAAAGCUCACAGAAUCCAAUAGUUUUUGGUCCUCAUCCAGCUGAUUAUCUAGCAGCAGAAAAUCACGCACAGCCGUUAUAUGGCGGAGAUGGUGAGCAAGAUGACUGUUUUGGUAUCGGUGAUAUGUUUGGUGAGCCUGAAGUAACUUCUGAUGCUAAGAAAGAAACUGGAACAACUGGAGAUAUUGAUGUGAUGGCUUGGAGUAGCAAUAGUGCUGAUGAUGAAGUGGAUGAUAGUAAUGCUCCCGUAUCAGUCGAGGGCUGCUUGUCAUUGUAUACUGAGCCAGAGCUGCUAUCGGAAUCUUGGCAUUGUGAGAAUUGUUCCAUCCCUGUUGCACAGCCAAACACCAAUGAAUUAAAAGAGGGUGAGGAGACGGCAGCUAGUGCCAAUGACAGAAAGGACAGUGCGGAGAUGAUGGCAAGUGGUGAUGAAAAACAAGAUGAUGAUAAGGUCCCGAGCUGCAGCAAAAAGGAGGACAUUGAUCAGAUUAUGGCAACUGAUGGUUGCUCUGUCAAUGUAAAUCCUGACAUGUGCUGUAACGAAGGUGUGUGUGCAAAUCCUCCUUUGGUUGAUGCUGAAAACACCUCUGAUGGUAAUUCUCCAGACAUUGACACUACUGAACAGCCAGACAGUAAAACAUACCACCAGGAGUGUAGGAAUUUGAACAGCUCAGCAGUGGAAUUUACAUCUUCCAGUAAGCAGCCGCAUGACUUUGCGCGGCAUAACGAUGGUCAUAAUGUGGAUGUAGCCGCUGAAGAAACAAGUGCGCCAGUGAGUUGUGGUGAUAAUGACCCUGCCUCUUGCAGUACUACUAGCGACAAAAAGGUUGAAUCUGGUGGUGCCAAUGCUGAAGAAGUUGUGACUAGUAGCCUUCCACCUGAGACGCAAAGCAUCUUACCGAGCGCCAAAGAUAAUGAAGAUGGCUUCACAAGGAAUACCGGAAGGAGGAAGAGAAUGAAGAUGGUUGUCAAGGUACACAAAGGACAAGAUAACCAAAAUAAACAGAAAGAGGAUGAAACAAAGGUUUUCAGAGCUGCAAUGAGAAGAAUUCUUAUCAGCAAGGCACCACCUGUAUUGACGAUUACUUUGAACAGAUUCAGCCACGACUCUCAUGGUCGGUUCAGGAAACUGAAAGGGCAUGUGCGCUUUAAGGAGACACUUGAUAUACGACCGUACAUGGACCCAAGAUCGAAGGAUAAUGACAUCACCACUUAUCGGCUGGUAGCUGUCGUCGAGCACAUGGGAAGCAUGACAGGAGGGCAUUAUGUCGCAUAUGUAAGAUCUGGCAAGAUAGGGGGUCGGCAGCAGCAGAGCCGCUCCUCCAAGUCUUGGUUUUACGCGAGCGAUUCACACGUCAGAGAAACCUCUCUGGAGGAGGUUCUCAACUGCGAGGCUUACAUCCUUUUCUACGAGAGGGUAGCCGAGUAA
rnacentral:rRNA from 1 species